AACGAACGCUGGCGGCAGGCCUAACACAUGCAAGUCGAACGCUGUAGCAAUACAGAGUGGCAGACGGGUGAGUAACGCGUGGGAACAUGCCCUUCGGUUCGGAGUAACUCAGGGAAACUUGAGCUAAUACCGGAUACGCCCUUAGGGGGAAAGAUUUAUUGCCGAAGGAUUGGCCCGCGUCCGAUUAGCUAGUUGGUGAGGUAAUGGCUCACCAAGGCGACGAUCGGUAGCUGGUCUGAGAGGAUGAUCAGCCACACUGGGACUGAGACACGGCCCAGACUCCUACGGGAGGCAGCAGUGGGGAAUAUUGGACAAUGGGCGCAAGCCUGAUCCAGCCAUGCCGCGUGAGUGAUGAAGGCCCUAGGGUUGUAAAGCUCUUUCGCCAGGGACGAUAAUGACGGUACCUGGAUAAGAAGCCCCGGCUAACUUCGUGCCAGCAGCCGCAGUAAUAC
rnacentral:rRNA from 1 species